GAAAAAGGAGAGAAAGUUCUUGGUUCAUAAAUCUUCAAAGCUUGAUUUCUUCUGAACUAAAACUCAAAUCCAAACUCCGAUUUCACCAAAAAGAUCCUCUCUUCUUUCUCUACAUGAUCAUAUGACUUAUCAAGGCUGGAAUCAAGGAAUCAUGCUUAACUUGACUUGAGGGCCAAGAAAUGUGACUUUCCAGGAAGUCUAAGGUUAGAAAUCACCUCCUAAUGUGCUGAGGGAGAUUUGGUUAGUUGAGGGGUUUUGGAUUUAAAGUUGUUCUUGAUGUGAUUUAGGAGGAAAAAGUGUUAAAGGACCACCUGAAAGUCUAACCGAAUUAGGAGCAGCAAAACUAGAUGGAAGCUUGGGUACCCUUCCGUAGUUCGCUGAUGACCGUUUAUAAAGAGGAUUCCACUCUAGGUAGUCUUCUGAGUCUAGGGUGAAUUCCGUUCUUUGUUCAUAUGUAUAUACUGUGAGACCAGCCAACGUCUGCACCCCGUUUGUACGCGAACUUUAACCUAAAUCCUAUGUACGAGACUCUUGUUAUGUGGCUACUUGAUGAGGUACUGGAGUGACGUCAUAUGGCAAUGUCUGAUCGUGCAGAGGAGUAGUAGAUGAUGUUCCACCUUUUGAUAACGUUCCACCUGACUUGAGUUUUCAAGACUUAGAACAUACUUUCCCUCGCUUUAGUAGUUUAGAGGGACUAGGUGAGUAUAGAGUCUAGGCUAGUCUAGGUGCCAGCUUAGGGACCUCUUGAACAGGUCAGGACCUGGGAUGUUGUAUGUAUGUAUAUGUAUAUAGUUAUUAUCUAGCUAUAUCUA